AAGCAGUGAGGACAAUAAUUCUAUGUGAAAGUCUUUGAUUUAUUUAUACGCUAUUCUGAGCUUUUU